GCCUGCCCAGUGACCCCUGUUCAACGGCCGCGGUAUUUUAACCGCGCAAAGGUAGCGCAAUCACUUGUCCCUUAAAUGAGAACCAGUAUGAAUGGCUAGACGAGGGCUUAACUGUCUCCUUUUCCCAACCAAUGAAAUUGAUCUUCCCGUGCAGAAGCGGGAAUACUAACAUAAGACGAGAAGACCCUGCGGAGCUUUAGACGCCAGAACAGAUCACGUCAAAUACCUCUCUCAAACAGGUAACAACAAAUGAACCCUGUUCCACGUCUUAGGUUGGGGCGACCACGGUGAACAAAAAAACCCCCGCGUGGACUGAGAGCACAUACCUCACACUUAUUAAUACUGCUUCUCACAACCAUGAGCUACAGCUCUAAAUAACAGAACUUCUGACCAAAAAAAUGAUCCGGCAACGCCGAUUAACGGACCAAGUUACCCCAGGGAUAACAGCGCAAUCCUCUUUAAGAGUCCAUAUCGAC
rnacentral:rRNA from 1 species